rnacentral:tRNA from 1 species
AUGAUAUUAGUAAAAUCAUUACAAAGCCUUGUCAUGGCUUAAUUAUUAGUUGGACCCUAAUACAUCAUA